rnacentral:misc_RNA from 1 species
AACUUUCGGCAAUGGAUCUCUUGGCGCUCGCAUCGAUGAAGAACGCAGCGAAAUGCGAUAAGUAAUGUGAAUUGCAGAUUUUCAGUGAAUCAUCGAAUCUUUGAACGCACCUUGCGCUCCUUGGUAUUCCGAGGAGCACGCCUGUUUGAGUGUCAUUAAAUUAUCAACCGCGAAAGGCUUUUUCUGGUCUUUCGGGGCUUGGAGUUGGAGGCUUGCCGGCGUGAGUCGGCUCCUCUUAAAUGUAUCAGCGAAAAUACAAACCUUUUGUUGGCUUCGGUGUGAUAAUCACGUUGCGCCGUCGCUUGAAGGUGUUAAAGUGUUUCGCUUAUAAUGGUCUUCGGACAAACAAACCAUUGAAUUUGACCUCAAAUCAGGUAGGACUACCCGCUGAACUUAAGCAUAUCAAUAAGCGGAGGCU